rnacentral:rRNA from 1 species
CGCAUCUGUGCAUGCAGCAUAUCAAUAAGCGGAGGAAAAGAAACUAACAAGGAUUCCCCUAGUAACGGCGAGUGAAGCGGGAAGAGCUCAAAUUUGAAAUCUUAAAGGGUUUCCCUUUACGAAUUGUAGUUUAAAGAAGUGUUUUCUGUUGAGGUUUUGGUAAAAGUUCUUUGGAAUAGGACAUCAUAGAGGGUGAGAAUCCCGUAUUUGACCUUUACUUUCAACUUUGUGAUACACUUUCAAAGAGUCGGAUUGUUUGGGAAUGCAGUCCAAAAUGGGUGGUAAAUUUCAUCUAAAGCUAAAUAUUGGCGAGAGACCGAUAGCGAACAAGUACCGUGAGGGAAAGAUGAAAAGAACUUUGAAAAGAGAGUUAAACAGUACGUGAAAUUGUCAAAAGGGAAGCGUUUGACACCAGUGUUGUUUUUCUGAAAAUCAAUUAAAGAACUGUUUAUGCUAAGUUGUUUAGACUUUAUCAGCUAACUGUUUAGUUUUGAGCUUUUCUUUAAUGCACCUUUUCAGUUAACAAGUCAACAUCAAUUUCUUUUGCUGUAAAAAAGCUUGAGGAAGGUGGCUUGAGAUUCGUCUUAAGUGUUUAUAGCCUCUUGCCUAUGCAGUCGGAGAGAUUGAGGUCUGCAGCGUAGAUCCUUCGGGGCUAAAUGCAUUUGUGCUAAGUUAUAGCAUUUUAUAGACAACUUGUUGACUAUGAUUUGUCUUGUAGCUUACUCGCUUAUGUUAUUUUACCUACGCUUAGGAUGUUGAAGAUGUAGCACAUCAU